UACGUAGGUCCCGAGCGUUGUCCGGAUUUAUUGGGCGUAAAGCGAGCGCAGGUGGUUUAUUAAGUCUGGUGUAAAAGGCAGUGGCUCAACCAUUGUAUGCAUUGGAAACUGGUAGACUUGAGUGCAGGAGAGGAGAGUGGAAUUCCAUGUGUAGCGGUGAAAUGCGUAGAUAUAUGGAAGAACACCAGUGGCGAAAGCGGCUCUCUGGUCUGUAACUGACGCUGAGGUUCGAAAGCGUGGGGAGCAAACAGG
rnacentral:rRNA from 1 species